GCUUUCGUGGUGUAGUGGUCAGCACGCUCAAUAGGUAUUCAAGAGAUACGUGGUUCGAGUCCCGGCGAGGGCA
rnacentral:tRNA from 1 species